CAUGUCUGAAAUCUACAGCAUGUAGAUUUCAUACAGGGCACAGUGGUUGACCAGUAAUGAGUUCCUGCAGGAGGGGACCCUUCCAGUGAAUGUAGACCUGGAAAAUGAGAUUGUCCUAUUUAUUCCUCUGAAUAUUCCCCAGCAUCUAUCACAGUGCUCUUUAUAAACUCAGCCCUCACGGAACCCUAAAAGCUGGCUAAGGGGCCAUUCUCCUCGCCACCUGGGCCUGCGUCUGCCGAAUCGCUUCCUAAGGACUUUGACUAGAAACCAAAGGUCCCAUUUUUCAUCUGCCAUUUAUUUAUCAUUGCAUAACUUAGUGAAAGCAUAUUGACUUUCCUGACUUCUUAUGACCACAUUUGAGGAAAGGAGUAAGCACUGGAAUCACCAACACAGCAUGCUUACGGAGGGUGGUCACCAGCUUCAUCAGCCUCCCAAUUCCACGGAGCCCCUUGAAAAUCCAGGAGCGCAGACUGGCAACAGUAGAGAUUUAAUAGGAGUUUACUGGAGGUUAUACUCCAGUCAAAGAAGAUGGAAACCAAGAAAGGACACAUUUUGGAGAUUAGCACUGGCUCCAGGAACCCAGUGAACAGAAGACUCAGGCUGAAGGCUUGUGCAUUCAGCCCAGAGAAAAUCCACUUAAAUUCAGAACAAUUAAGGACUCUGGGGAAGAAGGACUUCACAUGGUAGUGUGAUUGGAAGGCAGAUAAAUUUUAGGACACAAUGGAAGUUCCUAAGAUUUUUUAUCCUUUUCCAAUAGGAAGGAUAAAAAAAUCAUCUAAAACUAGAGGAAAAAUCAUCUAAAACAAGGUAUAAAGAAAUGGCUCACGUGUGACCCUUAUUUUACUGUGACAUGGAGCAUUUGAUGAAGGAUGUGGGAAGGGAGCCUGCUUAACUAUGAAGUGAGUAGCAUCGCCCCAGGAGCACCAUGACAGAUGCACAGGACAUGGAGGGAAGGAAAUGGCAUCCUGGCACAGCCCUGGCUCUACAUUGAGCAAUGUAGACAAAAUCAUAAAGGCUGCUCUAGUUUUCUACUUUUAGAAUCAACCUACAGACAUGUAAGACUUAAUUGUAGUUGUAGAAUAAAAGAUAAAAGAUUAUUGGCUUUCAUAACAAUAAAGUCCUAACAA
rnacentral:lncRNA from 1 species